GAUGAACGCUGGCGGCGUGCCUAACACAUGCAAGUCGAACGGAGUCGUUUUGGAAAUCUCUUCGGAGAUGGAAUUCUCGACUUAGUGGCGGACGGGUGAGUAACGCGUGAGCAAUCUGCCUUUAAGAGGGGGAUAACAGUCGGAAACGGCUGCUAAUACCGCAUAAAGCAUUAAAUUCGCAUGUUUUUGAUGCCAAAGGAGCAAUCCGCUUUUAGAUGAGCUCGCGUCUGAUUAGCUAGUUGGCGGGGUAACGGCCCACCAAGGCGACGAUCAGUAGCCGGACCGGAGAGGUGGACGGCCACAUUGGGACCGAGGAACGGGCCAGACUCCUACGGGAGGCAGGAGGGGGGAAUAAUGCGCAAAGGGGGAAACCCUGACGCAACAACGGCGCGGGAAUGAAAGAGGGCUUCGGGGUGGAAAGAACCUUAAUCAGGGACGAAACAAAUGACGGUACCUGAAGAAUAAGCUCCGGCUAACUACGUG
rnacentral:rRNA from 1 species